ensembl:lncRNA
UGAAGCGACAACUCAAACGCUGCUGCAAGUUGUUACCAUGCAAAUGCUUCCACAUGGGCAACCACGAGUGCCAUGCACGGUGGAAAAGAAUUAUCUUUCUUAAGUACUCCUCAAAAAGAAAGGAAAAGCAUGGCCAUUGGAAGUGCCAAAAUGAGACUCCUCAAUAUUUACAUUUUUUCUCUAUUCAAGAAGAGGAAAUUUGUUGGGGUAGUGGGGAGUACUGAUUCUAGUAAGACUCUCUUUUUAUGUGUCUUAUCUGAGGUACUUCUCACUCAUAAAGGAAAUGUUCUUGUCUCUCAGAAGGCCUCUGCUCAACCCAGAAAAUGAAAGAAACCCAUGAGAAAGCCUGGUGCUUUUCAGAGGUGUCUUCUGUUGUCCACCUACUUUUCUUGCUUUUACACUGCUGACUACUGACCUCUGACAAAAACUUCACAAAAACUGUACUGCUCACUUCUUGCACGCUUUGGUCACUGAUGAACCCAAGUCAUCUAGAGCACACAGAGCACUGAAUGUAUCAGCUCUGAUUUUAUACUCCAAUUCAUGGGAACACCCAGGAGAUCUUCUAUUCUGGACUUCCACAAAUGCUUGCAGAAGAACAGCAUGGGUUACAUUUGCGUUGGGAUUUAAAUAUUCCCUUCACUCUGACAACAAUUAGAGUGCUAUUUUCUACUUAGCUGUAAAUUAGAGCUCUGAAUAACAAUGGAGAGGUCUAACCACCCCCUGCUCUACCAGCAUUCCCUCAUGAACUCGGCAGUUUUUGGUAACAAUGCAGUUGUGCUCUAAGAUUUUAUUUUGCACAAGUGUCUUUGGG